GCCUCUAUGGCGUAGUGGUAGCGCGUGUCACUUGUAUUACGUAAUCAAUACAGUUACAAGAUCAUGACAAGGUCUCUAGUUCAAUCCUGGAUGGAGGCA